CGCAUGGUGGAUUCACAAUCCACUGCCUUGAUCCACUUGGCUACAUCCGC
rnacentral:tRNA from 1 species